CGGGGGGAGCAAGCGUUGUUCGGAUUUACUGGGCGUAAAGGGCGCGUAGGCGGCCACCGCAAGUCGACUGUGAAAUCUCCGGGCUUAACCCGGAAAGGUCAGCCGAUACUGCGGGGCUAGAGUGCAGAAGGGGGCAACUGGAAUUCUCGGUGUAGCGGUGAAAUGCGUAGAUAUCGAGAGGAACACCUGCGGCGAAGGCGGGUUGCUGGGCUGACACUGACGCUGAGGCGCGAAAGCUAGGGGAGGCGAACGGGAUUAGAUACCCCGGUACGUCCUAGCCUUAAACGAUGAAUGCUUGGUGUCUGGGGUUUUAGUUAGUCCCCGGGUCGGCCGUCGCUAACGCUUUAAGUCAUUCCGCCUGGGGAGGUACGGUCGCAAGACUG
rnacentral:rRNA from 1 species